CCUGAGGGAGGCUGACAAAGCAGCAGUUUGCUGGCCAUUGCUGGGGCCUUCCAUGGCCACCCUUGACUGCUGCUUUCUGAAGGAGGGGAGUAUGUACAGGUGCAUCUUUUCACCUGCAAAGACACCCAGAAAAGCAGCUAACUGAACAGAUUAGUGAGGAGGAACACAUCUGGGACACAGAAACAAAGGAAACAAUGGGACACAAGAAGUGGAUUAGUCUGUUCUGCAGCUGCAGUGAUAAAAUGCAGAAGUGACUACACAUGAUGAAGACAUGGCAUGUGUGGAUUGCUAAUCAUGUAGAUUCCCUGAUAAACAAAAAUAAAAACAAGUUGCUGUUAUA